AACUAUAAAGAAAAUAUAAGCUGAAUCUAAGAUUAUUAAAAACAUUUAAAUUGAGUUUGGUUCAAUAAUUUGGUCAGGCUUGGAUUACCAUACAUGCAAAAGUAAACUAUCAAGUAUUUGCUAUAACCAGAUCCAAUGGUGUGUGUGUGUGUACAAGCAAUGUAUUCAUGUAGAAUUUGAUGCCAUGACAAAUCACAAUUUCCCAUAUAACAACAAAAUUGUUCAACUGUACAAUUUCUUCAAACAAAGAUUCUAAGCAAAUGCAGAGAACGAGAUAGCAUAAGCACAAAAGCAGAAAGGAGAAAGCACAUAUAAGAACCAACCUCCCUUCCAUCACCAAAAGGCGAAUGACCCACCACAAAACAAACUGCCAAGGUAGUGUGAUCUUGUCCUCGGAAGCUGAAUCAAAACCAAAUCAAUGACGCUCAAAUUUCGUAAGGAUUCAUGGCCUCUCUUUCCCCCUUUCUCCAUCACAAAAUCAAAGCUCUUCCUCAGCCAAAAAAAAAAAGAACAAAGAAAAA